AAUAGAUACCCGGGUAGUCCACGCCGUAAACGAUGAGUGCUAGGUGUUAGGGGGUCCAACCCUUAGUGCCGAAGUUAACACAUUAAGCACUCCGCCUGGGGAGUACGGUCGCAAGACUGAAACUCAAAGGAAUUGACGGGGGCCCGCACAAGCGGUGGAGCAUGUGGUUUAAUUCGAAGCAACGCGAAGAACCUUACCAGGGCUUGACAUCCCUCUGACCGUUCUAGAGAUAGAGCUUCCCUUCGGGGCAGAGGUGACAGGUGGUGCAUGGUUGUCGUCAGCUCGUGUCGUGAGAUGUUGGGUUAAGUCCCGCAACGAGCGCAACCCUUGUCCUUAGUUGCCAGCAUUCAGUUGGGCACUCUAGGGAGACUGCCGGUGACAAACCGGAGGAAGGUGGGGAUGACGUCAAAUCAUCAUGCCCCUUAUGUCCUGGGCUACACACGUGCUACAAUGGCUGGUACAAAGGGUAGCGAAGCAGUGAUGUGGAGCCAAUCCCAAAAAGCCAGUCACAGUUCGGAUUGUAGG
rnacentral:rRNA from 1 species